rnacentral:rRNA from 1 species
CACGUAGGGCGCAAGCGUGUCCGGAAUUAUUGGGCGUAAAGAGCUCGUAGGCGGUUUGUCGCGUCGGGAGUGAAAUCCACUGGCUUAACUGGUGGCUUGCUUUCGAUACGGGCAGACUGGAGGUAUGCAGGGGAGAACGGAAUUCCUGGUGUAGCGGUGAAAUGCGUAGAGAUUGGGAAGAACACCGGUGGCGAAAGCGCUCUGCUGGGCCGCAACUGACACUAAUGGACGAAAGCUAGGGGAGCGAAUGGG